GAAGGAGUUGGAUUACUUCUGGAACAAUCUGUUUGAAGAAACAUAUAGGAACAUGAGCAUUCGAAGCAGGAGAAGAGAGCGCAAACAGGAGCUCAGACGACUGGAGCUAGAGAUGGUGAACAAACCCACUGAAGAUCUGCAUCUGCCAGAUCAGAAGGCAUGGCUCUGACAAGGACAGGACAGCGCUGAUGAGAAAGUCAAACUGGAAGAGUAAGAAUGAAGGAGAGAUUUACAGGAGAGUGAAAUGUUAUUAAGGAUUUCCUGUGAAGAAGCUCCUGACCUCUAAGGACCAAGGAGGAGAGAUGAGAUGUGGCAAGAUUUACUGAGACUACAAGCUAGCUAAGUACUCUCUGAUUGGUGCUGAUGUCCCAGAGGAGUUCCUGUGUGCAGGACGUCAACAGUUCAUUAUGGCUGCAGGUUAGUGGG
ensembl:lncRNA